rnacentral:rRNA from 1 species
UACCUACGGGACGCAGCAGUGGGGAAUAUUGCACAAUGGGGGGAACCCUGAUGCAGCGACGCCGCGUGGGUGAGGAAGUACUUCGGUAUGUAAAGCCCUAUCAGCAGGGAAGAAAAUGACGGUACCUGACUAAGAAGCCCUGGCUAACUACGUGCCAGCAGCCGCGGUAAUACGUAGGGGGCAAGCGUUAUCCGGAUUUACUGGGUGUAAAGGGAGCGUAGACGGUGCGCCAAGUCUGGAGUGAAAUGCCGCAGCUUAACUGCGGAACUGCUUUGGAAACUGGCGAACUAGAGUGCGGGAGGGGG